rnacentral:snRNA from 1 species
UUGCUCUCUUUGGCAGCAUAUAUACUAAAAUUGGAACAAUAUGGAGAAGAUUAGCAUGGCCCCUGCACAAGGAUGGCAUGCAAUUAUUGAAGCACUCCCUAUUUCA